UGGUGUCAUGACAGAUUAAAACUGGAAUAUCUUUCAGAGAUCAUGUGAAAAUGGUUCUAUUUUUCCUGGGCAAGUGUCAUGAAUAUCAAUAUACUAAAUAGAACAGACUGUGACAAUAAAAAUGUUGAUCUCUGUGGCUGCUGAAAGAGUGACAUUAAGUGACUCUCACUGAUAUUUAAUUUGCAAAUUGAAUUGCACUUAUUGAGAGAGGGGAAAAGCUGCAACGCUCGUGUUGAUGAGAAACUCUGCAUUUGGAAACGCUCUUUAUUAAUGAUUCAAAACAUACAGUUCCUAGGAGCUGUAAACAAGUUCCGUAUUCUGCACACUAAUCCAUAACCAUUAUCAUAUGUAGAGAACAAGAAGUUACUCAUAAACAGAUGUUCCCUUUGCCAAACCCAUUUGUUUAAUGCACAUUUUACUUUCCAGGUCCUGGUUAGCAACUUUCUGUGGUGGGUAGAUGACAUGAAAGGAUGGAAAAGCAGGGAGCUUCUUAGAUGGUUCACAGAUGUGCACUGGAAAUUAAAAGGUGGCAUGCUGAAUCCUGAACACAAAUAAUCUUCAUUUGUAACUUGAGCUGUUACUGCUCACAAAAGAAGACAGAAAAGAGAUUCCACUCGAUCUGGCUUCCUUGGUUUCUCUUUUCCCUGGAAUUUUAAAAAACUGCCUCCCAAGACUUGCGCAAGAACCAAAACAGUUUUUUUUACAAUAACAUCACAGCUCAGUUGGCAACCUUCCCCAAAACAAGUCUUUCCUCAUCCCAUAGCUCCUUCAGGCCUUUGCUAAAUGUAAUGGAACUUUCUAAUCAGCAAGGCUGUGCUUUUUCUUUUCCUUCAUCUCUUCCCACUUAAAGCAGUUUAUUGUCUCGUUCAACUGUCUAUUUAUAUUAUUUACUGUAAAAAGCCAGGCUGAUCUGUGGACACAUUUCUCUGGUUCUCCCUAUCAGCUGCUUAUUUCAAGAUCCCCUUUGUAUCUGUUUUCCCACACAAACAUGUACUUGAGCUCAUAGACGUGACUCCCUCUCAACCUUCCAGGUCUAAACAGAGAAGUUUCCAACUUGUCUGCUCCACAUGCUGAACAUCUUUGGAGAUGGACCCUUCCUAAUUUUGCAUCUUUCUGUUUCAGACAGGACAUUUUCUUCCUAGAGGAAAGAUAUGACUCUUGAGGCCCGCAGUGACAGCCCUAUAGCAUCUGGCCCUGUAAAAUAUUAUUCCCAGCUAUUUCUAGUGUGUGUAACAUCAUAUUUUCUUCAUAACAUGUGAUAAAAAAUACUUGGUUGGAAUGUGAGCUAUUCAAUGGAGAUGGUGGCAGACAUCCCUAUGCCUGUUGUCCUAAUGAGCAUUAAAGUUGAUUGUGUUCCUGCAGAGAAGCUGCAUGACAAUUCAGCAGAGAAAGGUGGCUGAGCAUCAAGCAUACCAGGCAUCUCUGGAAAUUAUAUCAUGUUGUUUUCAUUAGUUUCCAAUCUUGGUAAACUGGGAUUGACUAA
rnacentral:lncRNA from 1 species